UUGACCUCGAAUCAGGUAGGAAUACCCGCUGAACUUAAGCAUAUCAAUAAGCCGGAGAAA
rnacentral:rRNA from 1 species